AUUAAUUGCGCAGCCUGCUGAGGCACGCAGGUGCACUGGCCACCCAGGUAGACUCACGCAGUAAAGACAAUGCAGUGGAAAUGACUGUAGGGGACAAAGACAGAGGCAGCACAGAAAUGCAAAAUGAGCAGUUUGGUAAAAGUUUGAGCGCUUACCCCUGAGAUGCACGAAUGUUUGGACCUUACGCUCUUCCAUAAAUCCACUUGAAUCGUCAUUCUCCAUCUCUUUGUUGCUGGGAGUCUAAUCAGGGCCUUCAGAGUCUUCAUCUGAGCUACUUCAACAUCCGUCAAAGUCACUGUCAUCUCCAGCAGCGCCUCCUGAACACUGCAUCGUUUCUGCUUAUUCGUACUGCGAAUUAGAAAGAGACACUGAAACAGCACCAACAUAGGAUAAUAAAAUACCUUUUGUGUGUUUGUCUAUUUACCACAAGAAGUGUUUCAGCUAAAGAGAAGGUGAAGUUUAGGGACUGAUGUGCCAAAUAUGUGUCAUAAUACAGUUUAUCAUUCAUUUAUUUAAAUUAACAUUAUUUUCUUGGAUUCCAUUAAUGUAAAUCUGCUCUCAAAUGAACCACAGAAAAAAAACAUGGAUGCAAAUGAUUGAGCUUAAUUAUCUGAGCAUUUUUCUUAUUCUGACAAUACAUCACAUGGUAUUUUCCGCAACAGUUUUUAGGUUGAAGGCCCGAGGUAACAUGUACGUAUGUCUCUGCGAUUUUUUUCUAAACUGGUUUUAUAUCAAUUUAAGGAAUGUGAUCAGAACAGCUUAAAUGUGAUCUUGGACAUGCUAUUAAAGGAUUACAAUUGGGUGUAAACGUGUCUUUGAUGUCAAGCAUUUUUAACUGAGCACGUUUUCUCCCAUGUGCUCACCAGACACACCGCCAUUUUGGAUGUGAUGUCAUGAGGACAGCAAUUCACACACGGGCACAUGACUUCACCAGUGUGGUCAGUGGAAGUCACUUGGGACCUCAUCAGCUCAAACUGGGAGAGAGCUCUAGUGUGUGGAUCGAGGUGUGUGUCACACCUGUGUUACUGUGGCUCCUGUUGGGUUAAGAAGCAGCUGCUGAUUUCAUGUUUUCUUGGUCAUUUAUUAUUAGAAACUUAGUCGAUUGUUGUAUGAGUUUGUAGAAGGAUUUUAAGAGUUAUCCCGUUCAGCCUGCUCUGUACCGAUUAGACUCCUUAGGCUCCAUUAGGACACUGAUUUGGGACAUAAAGGGCUCCAAGUGAACACUGUAACAGCAGCAUUAUACCUGUGAUUAGUGGCAAAUUCCAGCCUUCUUAGUAAUACUUCCAAGAAAAAUUGAAAGGUAUUAAAGGCUUUUAAAACAAA